GGCAAAGCUCAAAUUGAAAUCUGGCGUCUUUGGCGUCCGAGUUGUAAUUUGAAGAAGGUAUCUUUGGGCCCGGCUCUUGUCUAUGUUCCUUGGAACAGGACGUCACAGAGGGUGAGAAUCCCGUGCGAUGAGAUGACCCGGGUCUGUGUAAAGUUCCUUCGACGAGUCGAGUUGUUUGGGAAUGCAGCUCUAAGUGGGUGGUAAAUUCCAUCUAAAGCUAAAUAUUGGCGAGAGACCGAUAGCGAACAAGUACAGUGAUGGAAAGAUGAAAAGAACUUUGAAAAGAGAGUGAAAAAGUACGUGAAAUUGUUGAAAGGGAAGGGCUUGAGAUCAGACUUGGUAUUUUGCAUGCUGCUCUCUCGGGGGCGGCCGCUGCGGUUUACCGGGCCAGCAUCGGUUUGGAGCGGCAGGAUAAUGGCGGAGGAAUGUGGCACGGCUUCUGCUGUGUGUUAUAGCCUCUGACGAUGCUGCCAGCCUAGACCGAGGACUGCGGUUUUUAACCUAGGAUGUUGGCAUAAUGAUCUUAAGUCGCCCGUCUUGAAACACGGACCAAGGAGUCUAACGUCUAUGCGAGUGUUUGGGUGUAAAACCCGUACGCGUAAUGAAAGUGAACGAAGUGGGGGCCCAUUAGGGUGCACCAUCGACCGAUCCUGAUGUGUUCGGAUGGAUUUGAGUAAGAGCAUAGCUGUUGGACCCGAAAG
rnacentral:rRNA from 1 species